UACGUAGGGGGCAAGCGUUGUCCGGAUUUAUUGGGCGUAAAGAGCGUGUAGGCGGCCAGGUAGGUCUGCUGUGAAAACUCGAGGCUUAACCUCGAGAUGUCGGCGGAAACCAUCUGGCUAGAGUCCGGAAGAGGAGACUGGAAUUUACGGUGUAGCGGUGAAAUGCGUAGAUAUCGUAAGGAAGACCAGUGGCGAAGGCGGGUCUCUGGACAGUUCCUGACGCUGAGGCACGAAGGUCAGGGGAGCAAACGGG
rnacentral:rRNA from 1 species